GUUCCUAUAGUUGAGGUAUACAACAAUGGCUUUUCAGGUCAUAGACCUUGGGUAGAUCCAAGUGGGAACUU
rnacentral:tRNA from 1 species